ncrna:unclassified sequences PhotoRC-II RNA
UCACCAUUCUUGCACCCGUUAACCGAGACCUAUGGGUGGGUAAAUUACGUCUCUCAUAUCCACUAGUGAAGGGAUUAGUGGAAAUAUAGUAUCGC